AGAGUUUGAUCCUGGCUCAGGAUGAACGCUGGCGGCGUGCGUGAUCAAUGCGAGUCGGACGGGGGGGUUACGGCCCCUCAGUGGCGUCCGGGUGCGGAACACGUGGGCAAUCUAUCGCCGGGUGGGGGCUACCCUCCCGAAAGGGGGGCCAAUCCCGCCUACGCGCGACAGUCGUCGGAUUGUCGCGGAAAGCGUUGGAGGGCAGUUCUCCAACGCGCCCGGUGCGGGGCCCGCGUCCUAUCAGCUAGUUGGGAGGGUCACGGCCUCCCAAGGCCAAGACGGGUAGCCGGGCUGAGAGGCUGACCGGCCACACGGGGACUGAGAGAUGGUCCCGCGCCCUACGGGGUGUAGCAUGAAGGAAUCUUGCACACUGGGCGAAAGCCUGAUGCAGCAACGCCGCGUGCGGGAUGACGCCUUACGGGGUGUAAACCGCUGUUCGGGGGGACGAAGGAAGACGGUACCUCCGCAGCAAGUCUCGGCUAACUCCGUGCCAGCAGCCGCGGUAAGACGGAGGAGACGAGCGUUAUCCGGAUUUACUGGGCGUAAAGGGCCCGUAGGGGGUCGCUUACGGGCGUCGUGCAAGCCCCGUGCUCAACGCGGGGAGGUCGGCGCCGACGGGGCGACUAGAGGCUGGGCGAGGCGCGGGGAACGGCCGGGGGAGUGGUGGCAUACGUAGAGCCCGGUCGGAACACCGGUAGCGAAGGCGCCGCGCUGGACCAGUCCUGACCCUGAGGGGCGAAAGGGUGGGGCGCGAACGGACUUAGAUACUCCGGUAGUCCACCCCCUGACCGAUGGCCACUGGGUGUCGCGGGUAUCGACCCCUGCGGUGCCGGCGCCGACGCAGUAAGUGGCCCGCCUGGGGACUACGGUCGCAAGACUAAAACUCAAAGGAAUUGACGGGGACCCGCACAAGCAGUGGAGCAUGUUGCUCAAUUCGAUGCAACGCGAAGAACCUUACCAGGGCUUGACAUCCGAGGAACCUCUUGGAAACAGGAGGGUGCCUUCGGGAACCUCGAGACAGGUGCUGCAUGGCUGUCGUCAGCUCGUG
rnacentral:rRNA from 1 species